rnacentral:misc_RNA from 1 species
UCUCCGUAGGUGAACCUGCGGAGGGAUCACUACAGGCUUGGAAACGCUCUCAAACCACUGUUUAUCUACCUGAAUCUGCUCCGUCGUGCUUCCCCAGGCCCGCGCGGUAGCCCCCAGGGGCCCGCCGAAGACCCCUCAACCCUGGGCUCUUGAGAUUCGCUGAGUACCAUAUUACACAGAAAACAACUUUCAACAACGGAUCUCUUGGUUCUG